AUGUUUUUCUUGGGGUGCCUUUUAGGCUGAGAUGGUUUAUAAAUCAGACCCAUGGAACUUGAACCAAUUAGUAUUGGCGUAAGAAAGAAAAGCGUUUGCUAG